rnacentral:pre_miRNA from 1 species
CAAAGUGCUCAUAGUGCAGGUAGUUUUGGCAUGACUCUACUGUAGUGUGGGCACUUCUAG